GCCGAAUGAAAGUACAUUGAUAUACAUCCACAACUUUUCAUUUUCAGUCAAAAAUGUCUUUUCACUUUCUUCUCUUCUUCUUCAUAGAUUUCUACUUUCUUCUUCUGUCUUCACAGGUUCUUUUCUUCCUUCUUCAUUCUUCUUUUCUUCUUUCUUCUACCUCAGCCUUCUUCGUCACACAGUCAGUCACUAUUUUCUCUCAAUCAAAUGCAUUUCUUCAUCUGCGACACGUCGCAAGGAGCUUCGACACAGUCGACGACGUGUCGGAGACGUAUCAGUUUCCGAUACAUGUCGAAUAGUGAUACGUCGAUGCCGCCAACAUGUCCGUGCUUCUGAGUGGGUCGCAAUAAUGGGUUAGGUUGAUGGUUUUAAUGGGCUGGGUUACCGGGUAUGUUAGCUGAGUGUAGUUGGAUUGGGGUUGGUUAAUGUUGGUAAGGAAUUUGGGUUGUAUAAGUAGGUUGUUG
rnacentral:lncRNA from 1 species